rnacentral:rRNA from 1 species
CAGGCCUAACACAUGCAAGUCGAGCGGACCUGAUGGAGUGCUUGCACUCCUGAUGGUUAGCGGCGGACGGGUGAGUAACACGUAGGCAACCUGCCCGUAAGACCGGGAUAACUACCGGAAACGGUAGCUAAUACCGGAUAAUCAAGUCUCUCGCAUGGGAGGCUUGGGAAAGGCGGAGCAAUCUGUCACUUACGGAUGGGCCUGCGGCGCAUUAGCUAGUUGGUGGGGUAACGGCUCACCAAGGCGACGAUGCGUAGCCGACCUGAGAGGGUGAACGGCCACACUGGGACUGAGACACGGCCCAGACUCCUACGGGAGGCAGCAGUAGGGAAUCUUCCGCAAUGGACGAAAGUCUGACGGAGCAACGCCGCGUGAGUGAUGAAGGUUUUCGGAUCGUAAAGCUCUGUUGCCAGGGAAGAACG